UCUCUUGUGCUCGGGCACGCGCUGUCGACAGUGAGGUCUUUACCGAGUCACAGCCAAUUGCUAGUUGCAAACUAAGCAUCCGAACACGUCGUCAAGUCUAUGACUUUUCGCAAUUUUUGGCAAGCUUCGCUGGGC
rnacentral:snRNA from 1 species